rnacentral:rRNA from 1 species
AUUGAACGCUGGCGGCAGGCCUAACACAUGCAAGUCGAACGGUAGCACAGAGAGCUUGCUCUCGGGUGACGAGUGGCGGACGGGUGAGUAAUGUCUGGGAAACUGCCCGAUGGAGGGGGAUAACUACUGGAAACGGUAGCUAAUACCGCAUAACGUCUUCGGACCAAAGUGGGGGACCUUCGGGCCUCACACCAUCGGAUGUGCCCAGAUGGGAUUAGCUAGUAGGUGGGGAAAUGGCUCACCUAGGCGACGAUCCCUAGCUGGUCUGAGAGGAUGACCAGCCACACUGGGACUGAGACACGGUCCAGACUCCUACGGGAGGCAGCAGUGGGGAAUAUUGCACAAUGGGCGCAAGCCUGAUGCAGCCAUGCCGCGUGUAUGAAGAAGGCCUUCGGGUUGUAAAGUACUUUCAGCGGGGAGGAAGGCGAUGGAGUUAAUAGCUUCAUCGAUUGACGUUACCCGCAGAAGAAGCACCGGCUAACUCCGUGCCAGCCGCCGCCGUAA